AUUGAACGCUGGCGGCAGGCCUAACACAUGCAAGUCGAACGAGUGGCGGACGGGUGAGUAAUGUCUGGGAAACUGCCUGAUGGAGGGGGAUAACUACUGGAAACGGUAGCUAAUACCGCAUACCAUCGGAUGUGCCCAGAUGGGAUUAGCUAGUAGGUGGGGUAAAGGCUCACCUAGGCGACGAUCCCUAGCUGGUCCGAGAGGAUGACCGGCCACACGGGAACGGAGACACGGUCAAGCCUCCUACGGGAGGCAGCAGUGGGGAAUAUUGCACAAUGGGCGAAAGCCUGAUGCAGCAAUGCCGCGUGAAUGAAGAAGGCCUUCGGGUUGUAAAGUACUUUCAGCGGGGAGGCGUUACCCGCAAAGGAAGCAACGGCUAACUCCGUGCCAGCAGCCGCGGUAAUUC
rnacentral:rRNA from 1 species